UUUUUAUGGUGGGCAUUCGCUCGAAGUAUCUUCGAGAGGAAAGUCCGGACACCACAGAGCAAAACCCCGAUUGAAAAAUCGGAGUGCUGGGAGAAAAUCCCAGUGCAUGAACAGUGCCACAGAAAAUAUACCGCCCGAAAGGGUAAGGGUGAAAAGGCGAGGUAAAAGCUCACCGCCGUUAGAGUAAUCGAGCGGGUAUGGUAAACUCGGUUUGGUGUAAGACAAUGUAAGAUGUCGGGCUGCUCGUCCAUACGGCAUCGGGUAUGUCGCACUCUGAAAGGAGGCGUUGAUGAAAAUUAACGCAGAUAAAUGAAUGUCGCCUGCAAAGGUACAGAAUUCGGCUUAUAGCCAUAGAAAACUA
rnacentral:RNase_P_RNA from 1 species